rnacentral:rRNA from 1 species
GACGAACGCUGGCGGCGUGCCUAAUACAUGCAAGUCGAACGCAGUGGGGACGGGAGAGUAACACGUGGGUAACCUCCCAUCAGAGGGGAUAACACUGGGAAACAGGUGCUAAACCGAUACUGAUGGAUGGACGCGCGGUGAAUUAGCUAGUUGGUGAGGUAACGGCUCACCAAGGCCACGAUGCAUAGCCGACCUGAGAGGGUGAUCGGCCACACUGGGACUGAGACACGGCCCAGACUCCUACGGGAGGCAGCAGUAGGGAAUCUUCGACAAUGGACGAAAGUCUGACCCAGCCACGCCGCGUGUGUGAAGAAGGUUUUCGGAUCGUAAAACUCUGUUGUUAGGGAGGCGUUAUCUAACCAGAAAGCCACGGCUAACUACGUGCCAGCAGCCGCGGUAAUAC